ACUCAACAGAUAGCUCAGUCGGUAGAGCAUGAGACUCUUAAUCUCGAGGUUGUGGGUUUGAGCCCCACAUUGGGUU